CCAGACUCCUACGGGAGGCAGCAGUGGGGGAUAUUGCACAAUGGGGGCAACCCUGAUGCAGCGACGCCGCGUGAGCGAUGGAGUACUUCGGUAUGUAAAGCUCUGUCAGCAGGGAAGAGAAUGACGGUACCUGACCAAGAAGCCCCGGCUGAAUACGUGCCAGCAGCCGCGGUAAUACGUAUGGGGCAAGCGUUAUCCGGAUUUACUGGGUGUAAAGGGAGCGUAGGCGGCAGGGCAAGCCUGAUGUGAAAGCCCGGGGCUCAACCGCGGAAUGGCUUUGGAAACUUUUUUGCUGGAGUACCGGAGAGGUAAGCGGAAUUCCUAGUGUAGCGGUGAAAUGCGUAGAUAUUAGGAGGAACACCAGUGGCGAAGGCGGCUUACUGGACGGUAACUGACGUUGAGGCUCGAAAGCGUGGGGAGCAAACAGGAUUAGAUACCCCAGUA
rnacentral:rRNA from 1 species